rnacentral:rRNA from 1 species
CAGCCGCCGCGGGAAUACGUAGGUGGCAAGCGUUGUCCGGAAUUAUUGGGCGUAAAGGGCUCGCAGGCGGUUUCUUAAGUCUGAUGCGAAAGCCCCCGGCUCAACCGGGGAGGGUCAUCGGAAACUGGGAAACUUGAGUGCAGAAGAGGAGUGUGGAAUUCCACGUGUAGCGGUGAAAUGCGUAGAGAUGUGGAGGAACACCAGUGGCGAAGGCGACUCUCUGGUCUGUAACUGACGCUGAGGAGCGAAAGCGUGGGGAGCGAACAGGAUUAGAUACCCCCGUAGUCCCUGUCUCUUUACC